AAAACGGAGCAGGCAUCAGGCACGACCAGACAGCCCAAGACACCUAGCCAAGCCACACCCCCACGGGAACUCAGCAGUGAUAAACAUUAGGCCAUAAGCGAAGACCCAUUCUUAAAGCUUGACCUAGUUAUACUCAAUUAGGGUCGGCCAAUCUCGUGCCAGCCGCCGCGGUUAUACGAGAGACCCAAAUCAGCACCAAACGGCGUAAAUUGUGACUAGAAUUUAAGCCAUCCCCUUAGAGGAAAAACCAAAACCUAAACGUAAAACCCCAGGCAAAAUGAAUUCCCCUAACCUAAGGCAAUUUGAACUCACGAAGGCUAAGAAACAAACUAGGAUUAGAUACCCUACUAUGCUUAGACGUAAACAAGACUUAACCCGAACAGAAUAGUCCGCCCGAGAACUACAAGCGAAAAGCUUAAAACUCAAAAGACUUGGCGGUGCUCCAAACCCGACUUAGAGGAGCCUGUCCUAUAAUCGAUAAUCCACGAUAAACCUAACCCCCCUUUGCCCCACCAGCCUAUAUACCGCCGUCGCAAACCUACCUCACAAGAGAAAAAUCGUAGGUAAAACAGUCUAACACUAAAACGUCAGGUCAAGGUGUAGCUAAUAGGGCGGAAGAGAUGGGCUACAUUCUUUAAAACUAAAGAACACAGAAAGAACCGUGAAAUAAUUCCAAAAGGAGAAUUUAACAGUAAAGCUGGCAAGAAAGCCAACUUUAAGUACGCUCUGGAGCGCGCACACACCGCCCGUCACCCUCCU
rnacentral:rRNA from 1 species